rnacentral:lncRNA from 10 species
AGAGGCGCAGCGGGAGGGGGUGCUCUCGGGCGAGCUCUCCGGCCGCGGCCCCCGCCCCUGCGCUGUCGGGCGGGGAGGUCGGAAACCCCCUGGCGAGACCACGGGCGGACGCUUCCCGAAGAGCUGCCUGGGCUGCAGCCGCGGAAGCUGCGUUCUGGGGAGCGGGGAGCGUGCUCCGGCGCCUUCGGGCCGCUGCUGGAAGCCGGAACCGAGCCCGGGCCGCUGCCCCUCACCGGACGCCGCGCGCCACCGGCCCUCCGCGGGGCAGGGGCUGCUGCGAGCUCGCCGGGCGCCCUUUAGACAGUCGUCCUUGUCUACUCCACUACCAAAUGUUGAAGUUCUUCAAGAAUCAGUCCUUUGGAGGCAUUUAAGGAAAUCUGUUUCUCUUUUGGAUCACUAGCUGCAAAUUAAGCUAACAGAACAGGAGCUCAGCUGGUCACACACAGCAACGAAUACAGACUUUAUAAAGUUCAGAAAAGUUACCAAACAGUGGUAACCAUAACAAGUACCAACAAUGAACUAUGGGGAGGGAGGAGAAUCUGAUUUCCAGAGUUACCACAUUAUAAUACUAUUCAAAAUGUCACAUUUUUAGCAAAGAUUACAUGACAAGGAAAAACCAGAAAAGUAUGGCCCAUACACAGGUAAAAAAAGAAAUUAAUAGAAACUACCCCUGAAGAAGCACAGACUUCGGAUGUACAAAACAAAGACUUUUCAUCAACUCUUUUAGAUAUGCUAGAAGAGCUAAAGGAAACCAUGGACAGAGAACAAAAAAAUUAGGAAAGCAAUGUCUCAUCCAAUACAGAAUAUCAAUAAAGAGAUUGAAAUUGUAGAAAAGAACCAAAUAGAAAUUCUGGAGUUGAAAAGUAUUAUAACUAAAACUGAAAAUUCACUAGAGGUAUUCAGCAGCAGACUGGAGAAGUCAGAAGAAAGAAUCAACAGGCUUCAAGAUAGGUCAAUUAAGAUUAUACAGUCUGAGGAGCAGAAAGGAAAAAGAAUGAAGAAAAAUGAACAGAGCAUAAAAGACCUCUGGGACUCUAUCAAGCAUACCAGUAUAUGCAUGAGGGGAGUCCCAGAAGGAGAAGAAAGAGAGAAAGGGACAUAAUAUUUGAAGAAAUAAUGGUAGAAAAUGUCCCAGCUUUGAUGAAAUACAUGAAUCUAGAUAUUCAAGAGGCUCAAAGAACCCUAAAUAGGGUAAACUCAAAAAGACCCACACCGGAAUGCAAAAGUGAGCUGGGUGUGGUGGCACGUGCCUGUGGUCCCAGCUACUCGAGAGGCUAAGGCAGGAAAAUCGCUUGAACCCAGGAGGCAGAGAUUGCGGUGAGCCGGGAUUGCGCCAGUGCACUCCAGCUGGGCGACAGAGCGAGAUUCCAUCUCGAAAAAAAAAAAAAAAAAAAAAAAAAACUAUUGCUGCAGUCAUUCAGAUGGAAAUGGGGAAAGAAUAAUAUUAACUGAUUUCAAAAAGGACUUGAAGAUGUGAAUCAUCUAUUUUGCUGAAGAAAUCUUAACUCUUUGAAAUUACUUUUUGUUGCUGUUGUCAUACUCUUAGGUGCCAAACUGCGGUAAAUUUUUUAUCAGUGAAGUGGAAGCAUGUGUUUUGUUGUUUUGGGAAUUUUUAUCAAGUAUCUUCAGAGAAGAUUAUUUCCUGCUUUAUCUUCAAAAACUGGAAAGGAAGGGUCAAAGAAAAGACAGUAGCUGGCCGGUCAUGGUGGCUCAUGCCUGUAAUCCCAACACUUUGGGAGGCUGAGGUGGGCAGAUCACCUGAGGUUGGGAGUUCGAGGCCAGCCUGACCAACGUGGAGAAAUGCCAUCUCUACUAAAGAUGCAAGGAUUGGCCGGGCGUGGUGGUGCGUGCCUGUGAUCCCAGCUGCUCAGGAGGCUGAGGCAGGAGAAUCGCUUGGACCUGGGAGGUGGAGGUUGCGGUGAGCUGAGAUCACGCCAUUGCACUCCAGCCUGGGCAACAAGCGAAACUCUGUCUCAAAAAAAAAGAAAAGACAGUAGCUUAUGUUCAUGUCAAGCACCUCUCAUCACAGUCUAGUUCCAAGGAAAAAAUUCCCAGCGUUUUCUACAUUCGGUGCUGCGUCAUCUGAAAUCGGCACAUUCCAUGGAGGAAGGAGUCCUGCUUUGUUGCAUGUAUCCUAGGGUUUAAUGUUGGUAAAUGAGUCACUCUAGCAUUUGUAGAAGGCUCCCUGAGACUCCUGCAGCAGUCGACCAAGCCCAAGGACAUAAUUGAAUCUGGAGAGUCCUGGGGCCUUGUUUUGAAAAAGACUUGAAAUACACAUAGGAAGAAAGGCAUAAAAAUAAAUGUUCACUUGUCUCUGCUGUGA